GACGAACGCUGGCGGCGUGCUUAACACAUGCAAGUCGAACGGAAAGGCCCUGCUUUUGUGGGGUGCUCGAGUGGCGAACGGGUGAGUAACACGUGAGUAACCUGCCCUUGACUUUGGGAUAACUUCAGGAAACUGGGGCUAAUACCGGAUAGGAGCUCCUGCUGCAUGGGGGGGGUUGGAAAGUUUCGGCGGUUGGGGAUGGACUCGCGGCUUAUCAGCUUGUUGGUGGGGUAGUGGCUUACCAAGGUUUUGACGGGUAGCCGGCCUGAGAGGGUGACCGGCCACAUUGGGACUGAGAUACGGACCAGACGCCUACGGGAGGCAGCAGUGGGGAAUAUUGCACAAUGGGCGGAAGCCUGAUGCAGCAACGCCGCGUGCGGGAUGACGGCCUUCGGGUUGUAAACCGCUUUCGCCUGUGACGAAGCGUGAGUGACGGUAAUGGGUAAAGAAGCACCGGCUAACUACGUG
rnacentral:rRNA from 1 species